rnacentral:rRNA from 1 species
AGGAUGAACGUUGGCGGCGUGCCUAACACAUGCAAGUCGAACGGUAGUCGCAAGACUACAGUGGCGCACGGGUGAGUAACACGUAGCUUACCUCCCUCUCAGCGCGGGAUAACGGCUCGAGAGAGCUGCUAAUACCGCAUAAGCUCACGGGUUCCAGAGACUUGUGAAGAAAGGCUUCGGUCACUGAGAGACGGGCUGCCGGCCAUCGAGCUAGUGGCGUGGUAAGGCACACAGGCGACGACGGUAGGGACUGAGACGGGUCGACCCCCACACGUCGGACGUAGAGACCGACCGGCCACGACUCCGUACGGGAGGCGAGCGAGUACGGAGGUAAAC